rnacentral:rRNA from 1 species
CGGAUCGGGGUCGAUAGCCAUGCGAGUCAAUGUUCUUCGUGAACAUUGCGAACUGCUCAGUAACAUGUGGAUAACCUACCCUUAGGACCGGGAUAACCUCGGGAAACUGGGGACAAUACCGGAUAAAUCAUAGAUGCUGGAAUGCCCUGUGGUUCAAAGGUCCGCCGCCUAAGGAUGGGUCUGCAGUCUAUCAGGUAGUAGUGGGUGUAACGUACCUACUAGCCUACGACGGAUACGGGUUGUGAGAGCAAGAGCCCGGAGAUGGAUUCUGAGACACGAAUCCAGGCCCUACGGGGUGCAGCAGGCGCGAACACUUUACAAUGCGGGAAACCGCGAUAAGGGAACCCCGAGUGCCAGCACCAAGUGCUGGCUGUCCAGAUGAUUAAAACUCAUUUGAUAGCAAGGGCCGGGCAAGACCGGUGCCAGCCGCCGCGGUAACACCGGCGGCCCGAGUGGUAACCAAUUUUAUUGGGUCUAAAGGGUCCGUAGCCGGCCUGAUAAGUCCUUUGGGAAAUCUGGCAGCUUAACUGUCAGGCUUCUGAGGGAUACUGUCAGGCUUGAGACCGGGAGAGGUAAGGGGUACUCCAAGGGUAGGAGUGAAAUCUUGUAAUCCUUGGGGGACCAUCUGUGGCGAAGGCGCCUUACCAGAACGGGUCUGACGGUGAGGGACGAAAGCUAGGGGAGCAAACCGGAUUAGAUACCCGGGUAGUCCUAGCCGUAAACGAUGCUCGCUAGGUGUCAGGCGCGGUGCGUCCGUGUCUGGUGCCGCAGGGAAGCCGUUAAGCGAGCCACCUGGGAAGUACGGUCGCAAGGCUGAAACUUAAAGGAAUUGGCGGGGGAGCACUACAACGGGUGGAGCCUGCGGUUUAAUUGGAUUCAACGCCCGGAAAACUCACCGGGUGCGACAGCAAUAUGUAGGUCAGCUGAAGUCUUACCUGAAUCGCUGAGAGGAGGUGCAUGGCCGUCGUCAGUUCGUACUGUGAAGCAUCCUGUUAAGUCAGCAACGAGCGAGACCCGCGCCCACAGUUGCCAGCAUGUUCCUCCGGAACGAUGGGAACACUG